rnacentral:rRNA from 1 species
GUUAGGAAUAUUGGACAAUGGGCACAAGCCUGAUCCAGCCAUGCCGCGUGAGUGAUGAAGGCCUUCGGGUUGUAAAGCUCUUUAGUCCACGAAUAUAAUGACUGUAGUGGAAGAAUAAGCCCCGGCUAACUUCGUGCCAGCAGCCGCGGUAAUACGAAGGGGGCGAGCGUUAUUCGGAAUCACUGGGCGUAAAGCGUGCGUAGGCUGUUUUGUAAGUCAGAAGUGAAAGCCCAGGGCUUAACCCUGGAAUUGCUUUUGAAACUACAAGACUCGAAUUCGGGAGAGGAUAGCGGAAUUGUCAGUGUAGCAGUGAAAUGCGUAGAUAUUGACAGGAACACCAGUGGCGCAAGCGGCUAUCUGGACCGAUAUUGACGCUGAGGCACGAAAGCGUGGGGAGCAAACAGGAUUAGAAACCCCGGUAGUCC